rnacentral:rRNA from 1 species
CCUACGGGUGGCAGCAGUGAGGAAUAUUGGUCAAUGGACGCAAGUCUGAACCAGCCAUGCCGCGUGCAGGAAGACGGCUCUAUGAGUUGUAAACUUCUUUUGUACGAGGGUAAAUCCCGAUACGUGUAUCGGGUUGAAAGUAUCUUACGAAUAAGGAUCGGCUAACUCCGUGCCAGCAGCCGCGGUAAUACGGAGGAUUCAAGCGUUAUCCGGAUUUAUUGGGUUUAAAGGGUGCGUAGGCGGUUCGUUAAGUUAGAGGUGAAAACCCGGGGCUCAAAUCCGGCACUGCCUCUGAUACUGGCGGGCUAGAGUUUGGUUGAGGUAGGCGGAAUGUACGGUGUAGCGGUGAAAUGCAUAGAGAUCAUACAGAACACCGAUUGCGAAGGCAGCUUACCAA